rnacentral:rRNA from 1 species
UACGUAGGGUGCGAGCGUUAAUCGGAAUUACUGGGCGUAAAGCGUGCGCAGGCGGUUUUGUAAGCCAGAUGUGAAAGCCCCGGGCUUAACCUGGGAAUGGCAUUUGGGACUGCAAGGCUCGAGUGCGGCAGAGGAGACUGGAAUUCCUGGUGUAGCAGUGAAAUGCGUAGAUAUCAGGAGGAAUACCGAUGGCGAAGGCAGCCCCCUGGGCCGACACUGACGCUCAGGCACGAAAGCGUGGGGAGCAAACAGG